rnacentral:rRNA from 1 species
AGCAGCCGCGGUAAUUCCAGCUCCAAUAGCGUAUAUUAAAGUUGUUGCAGUUAAAAAGCUCGUAGUUGAAUUUCGGGAUCGAAUUGUUGGUCGUGCUUCGGUACGUACUGGCAUUAUUGGUUCCUACCUUCUGAAGAACCGCGAUGUCAUUAAUUUGGUGUCGUGGGGAAUCAGGACUGUUACUUUGAAAAAAUUAGAGUGUUUAAAGCAGGCGCACGCUUGAAUACAUUAGCAUGGAAUAAUGAAAUAGGACGUUUGAUUCUAUUUUGUUGGUUUCUAGGAUCGACGUAAUGAUUAAUAGGGAUAGUUGGGGGCAUUAGUAUUCAAUUGUCAGAGGUGAAAUUCUUGGAUUUAUUGAAGACUAACUACUGCGAGAGCAUUUGCCAAGGAUGUUUUCAUUAAUCAAGAACGAAAGUUAGGGGAUCGAAGACGAUCAGAUACCGUCGUAGUCUUAACCAUAAACUAUGCCGACUAGGGAUCGGAUGAUGUUAAUUUUUUAAUGACUC